rnacentral:rRNA from 1 species
GACGAACGCUGGCGGCGUGCUUAACACAUGCAAGUCGAACGGAAAGGCCCUGCUUUUGUGGGGUGCUCGAGUGGCGAACGGGUGAGUAACACGUGAGUAACCUGCCCUUGACUUUGGGAUAACUUCAGGAAACUGGGGCUAAUACCGGAUAGGAGCUCCUGCUCCAUGGUGGGGGUGGGAAAGUUUCGGCGGUUGGGGAUGGACUCGCGGCUUAUCAGCUUGUUGGUGGGGUAGUGGCUUACCAAGGCUUUGACGGGUAGCCGGCCUGAGAGGGUGACCGGCCACAUUGGGACUGAGAUACGGCCCAGACUCCUACGGGAGGCAGCAGUGGGGAAUAUUGCACAAUGGGCGGAAGCCUGAUGCGGCAACGCCGCGUGCGGGAUGACGGCCUUCGGGUUGUAAACCGCUUUCGCCUGUGACGAAGCGUGAGUGACGGUAAUGGGUAAAGAAGCACCGGCUAACUACGUG